UAUUGGAAAAAAUUAAAAAGAGUUUUUGAACAAGGUAAUAAUUAAUUAAUUAAUCAACGAGGAAAAAAAAAAGAUAAACUUUAAAUAUCACCCAUGUGGUUUCGUACUUUCUCACUUUAAUACUCUGUGGUUUAAAGUGUAUCAAUUUAGUACCUUACGGUUUCAUUUUUUUCUUUUCGUCAGCUCCUCCGUUAACAUUUCGUUAAAUUAUAUACAAAAAAUUUCAGACACCUUACCUAGAUUUAUCGAAUAUUCACUUUAGUACUUUCUAGUUUUAACUUUGUAACUGAUUUAACAAAAAAAAAUUAGUAGAGGGGAUAAUAAAAAAGAAAAAAAAAACUACAGAGUACUAAAUUGAUAUACUUUAAANUCACUUUAGUACUUUUUAGUUUUAACAUUGUAACUGAUUUGACAAAAAAAAAAAUAGUGGAGGGGAUAAUAAAAAAGAAAAAAAAACUACAGAGUAUAUUGAUAUACUUUAAACUACGGAAUAUUAAAAUAAAAAUAUAUAAA
rnacentral:lncRNA from 1 species